UACGUAGGGUCCGAGCGUUGUCCGGAAUUACUGGGCGUAAAGAGCUCGUAGGUGGUUUUGUCGCGUUGUUUCGUGAAAAACUCACAGCUUAACUGUGGGCGUGCGGGCGAUACGGGGCAGACUGGAGUACUGCAGGGGAGACUGGAAUUCCUGGUGUAGCGGUGGAAUGCGCAGAUAUCAGGAGGAACACCAAUUGCGAA
rnacentral:rRNA from 1 species